rnacentral:tRNA from 1 species
GGGGCUGUAGCUCAAUGGUAGAGCACCUGUUUUGCAAUCAGGAGGUUUCGGGUUCGAGUCCCGGCAGUUCCA